GUGGCUGGAAAGCUCUGAGUGCUAAAGAAGAGUAUCUGGAGCCUUGAGAACUUUUAGCUCUACCAAAAGUCACACAAGAUGAACACAAAUCUGGAAAGCUCUGUAGAACUGUAAGUCCCACCCUCUGAAGUUCUACUCAUUUCCUCCAGACUUGUCAGAAUUUUGAUAUUGAAGGCUUCUGGAAGAAACAAAACAUUUCCAGCUGCAUUAGUCUUCAGUCCUGACUUGGGUAAGGACAGAAGGUUAGAGGUGGCCAGAGGGUUUCCAGAUCCACUGACUUGCCAAAUGUUCUACUUCUGGAAAUCACCAAGAACACAGAGGCAGGUAAUUACCCUCGUUAGGAACUGCCCCAGGUCACUGCUGCAGAGUUUGGCCAGUCUAACAGGGGUGGCCUGACAUGAAAAUCACACACACCUCUGGCUGGAGCUGCAGUGUUUAACAAAACCACAGGUGCCAGCUGAAGGUCUGUGCCAAAAAAGAACCCUCUUGCCAAGUGAGCUCUGCUGCCUGCAGUGACAGCACCGUUCUGUCAUCUGUGCUGGAUGCAGCCUGCAGUUUCUGAGGGGCACUCCAUCAUACCUGGAAUAGUUGCUGUUCAGAGACAUCAAUAACAAGGACGUUUGUAGUCUAUUCAUGCAAAUAUCGUACAUUAAGUUAAUUAUUAUCCCUUUAUACUUCUCAUUGCACCAUUUUUAAACUUUAUACACUAUCUUUUCCAGAAGUGUUUAAUGAGUUACUUUCAAUAAAGAAAUGCACACUUUCACUUUGGAAAGCAGGAAAGAGAAGACCCAGGAAAUGAAACACAGCUCUGAAAAAAACACAAGCAAUAACUGCUGAAAGAGAGCUGAACUGAAGAACCAGCAAAGCACCAGAAGCUGAGAAACACAAAGGAUGAUCUCACUGUCAAAGCAGCAACCACUCCAGCCAAGAUUUGGGAGCUGUGGGAGAGCCAUGCUGUCUUCUGCCAUCACCAUCUUCAAUGGAAGUUUUCCACGCCUCCCUUAAGAUUUUCUCUGAGCACCAGAGCCCAGCUGACAGGCAGUGGAGGGAUGAAAGCUCCGUGUCUCAUUCCAAAAGAGAUGGAACAAGAGGGCUGGAGCUGACUUGCUGUGAGAUAGCACAACACUUUGUCUCUUGGGACAGUCAUGGUGCCCACGUAUUACCUCACAUCAGAAUAAGGCAAAGUCAUUGCUCCAGAGCUGAAACAAUCCUGAACCAGGUGGAUUUCAAAUUGUAGCAAAUACCAGUGCUGGCUUUGAGGACUACAGCCCAAGACAUCAAUUUAACUAUGGUAGAAAGAUCACGGAUGCAAGAAGUCAAGAUUCUUACCCAUAACCUGAAGCCUUGAAAAUUUUAAUGCCAUUUCACUUGGCAAGGGAAAGGGUAAUAAGAUAACACAAUCCUUAACCUUAUUCUACUUUAUAAUUUCUUGCAAAAAUAUGCAAUUCCUGGACCAAGUUAUCUUUUUAGCAACAAAAAGAUGUGUUUAAGAAAAGACUAGAUGUGGCACUUGGUGCCAUGGUUUAGUUGAGUUUAGGGUUGGGUUGGACUUGAUGAUCUUGGAGGUCUCUUCCAACCUAAUGAUUCUGUGAUUCUGUAAUAAAUGUUCUUCUGACCAAGACUCAUUGGCAGCAGCAUGGCAUUAGCUGGGUGAUCUGCCAGGAAUGGACUCAGUAAUGCCACUUGAUCAGUCUUGAUCUUCAUCCCAACUUCUUUUAGACCUGGAAUUGAUAUGCAAAAGAUCCCAUCUGUGCUGUCCCAUGUAAAACUCAACAUUCAAGAGCACAAAACACAACUGCUCAGAAGUUAUACAGAUUCACUUGACCUCUUAUUAAAUGCAAGAAUUAGUGUUGGGCUUUAUCCUUCUUCCUUGAGCAUUUCCUGGCAGCAUCAACUCCUCCUGUCACUCAUCUUUCAGGGAUAUUUUGUUGUUGGUCUACAUGCAGAAACACUUUCUCAUAAGACACAUCUAUAACUGAAGGUUAUCUCUAGAAUUAUAGACUCAGCUUUAAAGACAAAGUCACAAAUCCUGUCACUGACAUCUAGGACCCUGGACAGACACAUAGCCAAAAAUGUCACGGUAUAUAAUGUUAUACAACUCACAAUUAAAUUAUAUAAAGAUCGUCAUGGCAAGAAACAAAGUUCUCUAACAAGUUAACACUCAGCCAUGCCUCUUCCAGUCUGCAGUUACAAAAUAAAGAAGUCAUAGGAGUCCUGAGUCUACAGAAAAAAUUAUACACAGGGUGCGGCCUUGCGUUCCAAAAUGAUUUUUCCACAAACUGAUGAAAAACAGGUUGACAGCAACUAUUUGUAAUCCAUCAGUAAAUCAAUUUUUUCCUGUAGAGUUCUGGGUUGUAAUGAACUUGUUCAUUCUGAGUACUCUGAUCUUACAGAUUGAAACAUGAAUCUUCUUGUUGUGGUAUGGUUUACACAGAGGGAAGUACAGUUUUGUGGGAACUAGCUUUAUCCAUAUUAAAAAAAGAAAAAAGAAAAAAGAAAAAAGAAAAAAGAUUUGAGUCCCUUCUCAGGACUGGAGUUUGCUGUCUAUUAGGUUGUGGUUGAAGCAGCUCUUAAAUCUGGGGGUUUUAUAUAGGCUCUUCAAAUCGUAAACUCACUUCCACAAUUUCUUUUAAAAAUGUUCUGUGGAGGGGGUUUUCAUUUUGAUGGGACAGCAUCACUGCUGCUGAAUUUGUUUACCUGGAUGUAUUGCACUGAACUUUAGGCCUUUAAAUUGAUUUCUCUUCACGUUAAUAAAAUUCUCUGAUGUUAAAAUGAGUUUAUUACAUUUAUGCAUUUGUUGGCCAGGUAAGAUCAAUAUUAAAGGUAGGACCUGUAAAAGUUGGUGAGUUUGCUCUGGAAUUUAGAAGAUUAGUAGCACAUAAAAGUCCAUGUUGCUGCUUAUAGGAUGGCCUGUAGUUCAUGCAUUCCUCCUUCUUGCAGAAACUGAUCCAAAUAUUUUUUGGAUACUCAGGUACCAUGAAGGUGAUUUAAUGGUGUUCAUAUUUCUGGGGGAUUUGACACUCUGCAGUUCAUAGCCUGGAACAUUUCCUAACCUGUGUCAUGGGUAAUGUAACCAAAAAAUGUGUUUUCUAUUUCAUGUGUUGAAACCAGAUUGAGGAGAUUUUUUUCCCUUUAUCUCUUGUAACUCCAGGGGGAGGAGGGUGGAUGCCUUCUGAUAACAGCCCAGCUGUUAAACCAGGUGGGGCAGUGUUUGUGAUCUCUGUCACCACUGCCCACCCUCGGGGAUAUCUUCUGUUCAUGGGCCAUUGAGGCUCACCAGUGACUGACACGUUCCAUCAUCCAUUGGGAGAUGGAACACCCAGUGGGGAGCACCCAACCAUUCCUACCCAGAUAAAAACGGGGACACAGGGACCCCAGACAUUCCUCUUUUCCACUGGAUUCCCAGAGGAAGACUGGACUCAUCUCAGCACCACUGAACCUGUCUGCAGGAUCAUCUCUACUCCAACAGAGCCACAUCUGUCACUCCAGGAGGAUUUAUUUGGACUGCUUCCAACACCCUGACAACAGGGUGUCAGGUCAUAUCCCUGACUCUGUCAGGUUUUCUAGGACUUUUGUUUGUUUUCUUGCCUUUUUUUAAUU